rnacentral:rRNA from 1 species
GGACUACACGGGUAUCUAAUCCUGUUUGCUCCCCUAGCUUUCGCGCCUCAGCGUCAGGUUUGACACAGAAAACCGUCUUCACCACCGGUGUUCUUCCACAUAUCUACGCAUUUCACCGCUACACGUGGAAUUCCGUUUUCCCUUGUCAACCUCAAGUUGGUCAGUUUCAAAUGCAGCUCCGGGGUUGAGCCCCGGAAUUUCACAUCUGACUUCACCUACCGCCUACGCGCCCUUUACGCCCAGUAAUUCCGAUCAAUGCUUGCACCCUCCGUAUUACCGCGGCUGCUGGCAC